AACCUUGUGCAGUGGCAAUAUCGCAAGCCAUGAAGUCCCAACUGAGCUGCGAUUAUUGCUAGUUGAAAACUAAAGCCAAUAUCUCGCCCAGCGUCAGGAUCAACGAUCUUGUACACUGUGGCAAUUUUUUAAGGCCCUCGAGGGC